GGUCUAUGUGAAUAGCUGGAGUGCGUUCUGGGGAAAGCCUGGUCUAAUUAGGAGAGACGGCAUUCAUCCUACUUUGGACGGAGCCGCUCUCAUAU